rnacentral:tRNA from 1 species
AGGAAUGUAGCUCAGUGGUAGAGAGCUUGCCUAGCAUAUGCAAGCCCCUGGAUUCGAUUCCCAGCACUGCAA